AUGAUCCUGUGGAUAAACUUGGUGUUUUUACUAGCUGUCCUUAGAGGUGUCCAAUCUGAGGUCCAGUUGGUGGAAUCUGGAGGGGAUGUGAGAAGACCUGGGGAGUCCCUCCGUCUCUCCUGCCAAGCCUCUGGAUUCAGCUUCAGCGACUAUUACAUGGGCUGGAUGAGACAGGCUCCUGGGAAAGGACUUGAAUGGGUGGCCUACAUAACCACUGGUUCCAGUACUUAAUACUCAGACAAAGUCAAGGACCGCUUUACCAUCUCCAUGGACAAUGCCAAAAGCCAGCUGUAUCUGCAAAUGAGCAGCCUCAAAGCUGAAGACACGGCUGUCUAUUACUGUGCCGGAGACACAGUGAGAGGAAGUGAAUCUGAAGCCAGGCCUAACCUUCCUCUUUAUAUGACAUUAUCUCCCACCCUCCUCAACCCGGUGGCUGAAGAGCAAAAGCCAGUCUGCCUGGAACUUCUCCACUGA